rnacentral:rRNA from 1 species
ACCUCGAAUCAGGUAGGACUACCCGCUGAACUUAAGCAUAUCAAUAAGCGGAGGAAAAGAAACCAACAGGGAUUGCCCUAGUAACGGCGAGUGAAGCGGCAACAGCUCAAAUUUGAAAUCUGGCCUUCGGGUCCGAGUUGUAAUUUGUAGAGGAUGCUUUUGGUGAGGUGCCUUCCGAGUUCCCUGGAACGGGACGCCAUAGAGGGUGAGAGCCCCGUCUGGUUGGACACCGAUCCUCUGUAAAGCUCCUUCAACGAGUCGAGUAGUUUGGGAAUGCUGCUCUAAAUGGGAGGUAUAUGUCUUCUAAAGCUAAAUAUUGGCCAGAGACCGAUAGCGCACAAGUAGAGUGAUCGAAAGAUGAAAAGCACUUUGAAAAGAGAGUUAAAAAGUACGUGAAAUUGUUGAAAGGGAAGCGCUCAUGACCAGACUUGGGCUUGGUUGAUCAUCCAGGGUUCUCCCUGGUGCACUCUUCCAGUUCAGGCCAGCAUCAGUUCGCUGCGGGGGAUAAAGGCUUUGGGAAUGUGGCUCCUUCGGGAGUGUUAUAGCCCAUUGUGUAAUACCCUGUGGUGGAC